GAAUAUAAGAGCAACUAAUAUGGCGUAUGAUAGUGUUUUGUCAAUGCUGUGAGCAUGAUACCUGCUUAAAUAAUUCAAUUAUACGUUUCGAACUGCAUUAUUAAAUAUAUUAUUUUAAAUUUAUUUUAUUAUGAAGGUUAGAACAAAUAUUUCACUUAUUUAUAUAUUUAUAUGUGUUUAUUUGAUAAUGUAAACAUAAAUUUUAUUAAUCGGAGAAUGGUUAAUUUUCUAUAUUUUCUAUUCAUAUUCGUAAAAUUUCAAAUAAUACGUUAAUUUUUGGUAAUGAAAUUUAAGUUUAUUGCGAUUCAUAAGAUGUGUUACAAAUUUAAAAAAAAUACAGAAAUUAUUAUGUGUGAAACAAAGAAUAUGUGCACCAUAGAAGGGUCUCUGUUUUCGCGGAUGCUUCACGUGACCAGAACGGUCUAUUGAUUCUUGGAGGUAGUGCAUGCGCCCUCGUCCUCGCGAUAUCUGCUGCUAGGGGGGUAUGUGAUACACUGGAAACGCUACUCGAAUUCCGUUCGCCAACAGAAGAGACGUGAAAGGGGGCUAUCAUCGAAUAUAGACGCCAAGAGGUGAACAAGGGAUAGGACAGAAAAGGGGAGCUACACGAUCGUGAAAACUCAGUAACAUUUUGUGGGGCGUUUGUGCAUGAUUUGCUUUGAUCGUUAUGGUUAUCCUAGUUUUUAUGAGAAAGCAGUUGCAGUAACACCUUAAGAAGACAUGUGGAUCAUGCUAGGACAAGGAGCGAAGUGGUGACCUAAAACUCAUCUUUGGUUCUGACCCUCGAUGCUUACGCUACGGCUGGUGUCGACUCAUUUCCUAAAACAGCCAUAGGCAGUGCCCUUCGCCUUAGAGAAAGGGCUCGAUGCGAUGUGCCGUGAUAGGGACAUGAACCCAAAACUAGUCGAAUUAAGCGAUCUCUUUUUAACGUCGUAUUGGUUAUUAACGUCGCUUUAAAAUUGCUCGAAACUUCCGUGCGUGUAUCGACAAAAGACUUUUCUUCGCUGGUCCCUUUCUCCUUCGAAAAUUCUGUAUUCACCUGUCCUUAUAAUUUUUCUAAUCCAUUUAUAUCCUUGUAUAGUUCCUUAUUCUUUGUUUAAAAAAUCAUUCGCGUAAGACUAAAGAUACGUGGUUCGUUAAUCACGAACAUUAACAUCAAAGUCAACGCCGAUAUCAACGACAACAUCGGAAAAUCAAAAUUCUCAAACAGAAAACAUACAUAUAAAAUAAUUUCAACGAACGAAAUUUUUUAUUUCAAAGCAAAUUCAUUAAGCAAAAAGGUGAUAUAUAAGGGAAGCGAUCAAUAUAAAAGAAAGUAUUAUUAAAUAAAAUACUUGCUUUUUCAUUAUUUAUCUUUUUGCACUCAAGAAAGACACGUAAAACAAUUUCGAAGAUACUUUCUCAGGUAUAUCUUAUUCACUGGAAAAUCGACUGUGAAGAAGAAUAAAUAAUCAGAAAGUGUAACUCGAAGUAAUAUCCAGGCUGAACUCCAUUUAUUUCAACCUGUGGAAGGUCGCGAGGGAGUGCAUUUGUGGCGGCGGAGGCGGCGGCGGCGGUUCGCGGUGUAGACAAAGUGGGAUGAGACGUCCUCAGCAAGAUCAUCACCAUCUCCACAAUAACCACCAUCAUCAUCAUCAUUAUUACCAUCAUCAUCAUCAUCACCAUCAUCAUCAUCAUCAUGGAUCUUCAACUAGCCCUCCACAAUCUCGACAAGUUCACGACAAGGAUGAAUCUCGUUUGGCAAAAGUGAAACGCGUUCUGGCAGUAUCAUUAUUGGGACGUAACGGAGGAUCUUCGAGGAUUUUUGGUACUCGGCUCGAUUCAAUUGAGCCGUAUCUUGAUACAGGUGUACCUUUUGUAGUACAUCGAUUGUGUAACUAUAUCGAAACUCAUGGAUUUCAAAGUGCUGCCGUAUUUCGUCUUUCCGGUGGAAGUCCAAGAUUGGCAGAAAGAUUGAGGGCUACUUUUGAAAGAAGAGGAGAUGCUGAUUUAGAAGCAGCAGCUUGUCCUUUGACUGCAGCAACGCUUCUUCGACAAUACCUAAAAGAAUUGCCACAACCUGUCGUACCAUCAACCUUUGUAGCUAGAUUAUUGACCAUUCAUGCCCAGAAUUACACUAACGAUCAUGACUGUUGGAUUAAUUUAACGAAAGAGCUUCUAUCAACUCUACCAUCUUCCCAUUAUCGUUUGCUUGGUUAUUUGGCUCUCUAUCUAAGCAAAUAUGAAGCUAAACAUGGACGUAGCGCCGGUGUUUGUGGUGUAUUCGCCCCUGUGAUUCUACCUCAUGUCCCACCUGCUACCACGCUUCUUCGUGAUAUCUUAGCUGAAGCAUCUACACUUUUUCCGGACUGCAUUCGUGAUAACGUGGUGAAUGGUGUAAUCCCUGCAAGUGAUUGUAAAAUUUGCAAAGAUUCAAAGGACGAACCAAAAGAUUUUGAAGGUGCAUCAUUACUUUGCGCGCUGAAACCGCGCAAACGUAAAGAACGUCACGAAUCGUGUUGUCAAGAACGAAAAUUGAUAAGAAGCAGUAGUGAGGAGCGUGUUCUUGAAAGUCCUGCUGAAACCACAGAUACAAUUAGACGCGUGAGCAGUCACGAAGAUUUUAAUAGCGAAAAACAUUUACAUAUUUUAUCCCAACUUGGACAAGACAUGGGUCAUGGUGUGAGAUGCGGAAGUCUUCCUUUGCAUGAAAGGACAAAUGUUUCACCUAUAUCCAAGAAAACUCCACCAACUUCUUCACCUUGUGAAACAGUUUUAGAAACAGAAAAAUUUGAAUGUGAUGCUGAAAAAUUAAGAAGUAGCGAACGUUUCAGUCGAAGUAUUACUCCAAGAGGACGAAGGCAACCUCGAAGAAGAAAAGUGCAUAAGAUUGCGGACACAGAAAAUUCUAGUAAGGAAAACGAAGAAGAAGCUGAUAACAUUUAUAACUUAUCAUCAAAUUCUAAUAGUUGUAAUGGUUCUCCAGCACAAAGUUUUUUGGAAAUGUUGAGCAGCGGACCGAGUCGAUCACCAUCUCCUGCUCGUCCGCCAACAGUUAGUCAUGAAGAUUUAAAUAAUCCCAGUUUAACGAACUGGACUUUUCAACGACAAGAAAAUGAUGAAGCUGUUGAUGCUAGAGUAGAAGCUAUGCUUUCUCCACGAAAUUCAUUAUUAUUACCUAGACGUUUUUAUUCUGAAAAUGAAAUGCAACCUAGUGCUCCAAAUAUUGCAGAACUUGGAUUAAAAAACUUGACUAAAUAUAUAAAUGGUUUGAAAAAAAAGAUAAAGAAAUAUGAAGACGAAUUUGAAGAAAAUUUUGGUUAUCGUCCAAGUCAUUCUGAUAAAAUGAGUAACAGAGAUAUAAAACGAUUAUGUACAGAAUUAAGUAAAUUGCGAAAAGAACAUAAGUUAUUAAAAGAAGAUCCGAUUAGUGCAUUAUUAGCUAAUGAAAAUAAUAAAACAAAAAUAGCUAAUGAUAGUCCAAUAAACAACAAUAAUAGUCAAGAAAAGUCUAGAGCAAUGUCAAUGGAAGAAAUGAUAAAAGAAAUAGAAAAGAAAUUAAAUGAAAAAAGAAUAAAGUAUAACAGACCCGAAAAUAUGGAAGAACUAACUUAUGAACAACUAAUAGAUGAAAAAACUGCUGUUCAAAAAGCUUUGCUUCAUAUUGAAAAUACUUUUGGAAGACCAGUUUCUAAAGAAGAUAGAGCUAUUGUACGACCUUUAUAUGAUAAAUAUAGAACUUUAAAAAGACUACUUAUUAGAGCAGGCGUGAACAAAAAUAAAGAUAGUAUUUCAGAACUAGCUACUAUUUUGGAACAUGAAGCAAUGGAUUUUACAUCGUCUAAUUUACCUAAUAAUUCAUCUGAUACAGAAAGAAGAGCUAGUGAACCUGAUAUGUCACAUAGAGGUAUUUUGGAUUGUAUAGAUUCGGUAGAUCAAUUACCAACUGAUAGUGAUAGUCAGCAUAGCAGUAGCGAAGGAAGUCGUAGUAACAAUGAAAGUCUUCAUGCAUUACCACAAGAAGAAUUAUUAGUUCAACAAAAAUUAACUAGAGAAGAGAAAAAACGUUUACGACGAGCUUUAAAAGAAUUAGAAGCACAGUUUGAAGCUCGUACUGGUCGUAGAAUGCAAAGAGAAGAUCGUGGCCCGCAAGUUACAACCGUUUACGAAUCGUAUAAACAGGCAAAAGCAAAACUUCGACUAAUCGAUGCUCUUAUAGCUAAAAAUGCUUGAUGCAGUAUCUAAUGGAUGCCUUGAAAUUUACAUCUAAAGAAAUUUGACAUCCAAAAUAUAUGUGCAGUGAUUAUACAAUUGAAACCUAAUAUGACAUACAGUUAUAAAUAUAACAAUAUAAUAGAGAUGUUAAGAAAAACUAAGAUUAUUAAAGCAAGGCAGAUGAUUUAAACUUAAUAGAAAUCAAAAUAUUUUAUAAAAAGAAUGGAAAUUUGUCUCUGAUUAUAAUAUAAUAAUUUGAUUUUAUUAUGUAUAAUUCUAAUUAGUCAACAAUCUGUUUUAAAGAACAUUAAACUUGUAUAGAACAUAUUCUGAGUUACAAAAAAUGUACGAUUAAUAUAAAUAUUAAUUGCAACUGAAUUUAUUUUAUUGACAAAUUAAUUUCUUUAUAACUUUGAAAAAUAGUUACUGCGUGUAAUAUGAUAUUUGUAACGAAAUAUUUUGAAUAACAAAAAAUUUCGUUAUUAUAAUUAUAUAUAUUAUUUUAAUAAGACUCUUCUUAUAUUGAUAACUCAUUGAAGUACAUAUUAUGAAGUGAUAUCAUACGAUAAUAAAUAAUAAGAUUAGUAUCAAAUUAGUAAUUUGAAAUUUAAACAUUAAUAGUUAGAAAAAAAACAGUGGCGUUAUAAACAAUCUGUCGAUUUGCACUCGCAAUUUCCUUCAAAUACUCGUCAAAUUCAUUAAAAUAAGGAAAUGCUUAUUGCUUAUGGUUAUUGUAAACUCUGCCUAUUAUACAAAUAAGAACAUCACAUAACAAGAUAAAAAAAGAAAAAAAAUAGAAAAAGAAAA